rnacentral:lncRNA from 1 species
AAUAAAUGUAAAUAAUGCGCUUAAUUUUAACAAUUGUCAAAGCUAAUUGUUUAUUCGAAGCCAUUCUAGUUGAACGCGAAUUUUCCGAAUAGGAACAGUUUUUGAGCAAUGUAUAUCUGAAACCUCCAAUUGCCUUCAAGAAUUCACGGGAUAUAUACAUUUCAAUUUGUUUGUCAUUUGAAAAAUUAUUACAUUAUAAAUAAUAAUGAGGUAUGUACGUUAAAAAAUUACAUCUUAUCUCUUAAUUAAUGUUCAUGAAAUAAUAUUCAGGAAAAAAUAAACUCAAACUACUUGUGAAAGCUGCAAAUUAUUAAAAGAAAAAGCGAAGAAAAAUGUUCAAGAAAGCUCCAGAUGCACAUGUAUAAAAUACAAGUUCAGUAAUGUUGCAUUGUUGAAGUUUCAGCUGUUGUGCUCAUUAUAUUUGGCGUUGUUCCUAGCAUGGUAAUUGAGGAAAACUAACAACUAACAAUGCGUAAUUGUCAGAGUAUGUAAUAACUAAUGAUUAUGGUAAGUAAUAAGUAAUUUUCAUAAAUUUACCUCUGCAUUAUCCUCUGAAUAAUCUUCAUAAAAAUAGUCAGAUGGCAUAAAUAUAACAAGUGGUAACGCAGACAAUGUACAGAUUGCAUCCAAUCACAUUUCAGUCAUUUUUUAUCAGUGUAAAUUCUACAAACUUAUAUGCCGCAUAAGGCAUAUCUCCUUAUUGACUACCUCGGAUAUUUCUCCAAGUUACGGAAAUUUUUAAAAAUUAUGCUUAACGAAAUCAUUUUCAGCAUGACUUUUUGUGGAUGCCAUGAACAUACACAUCUGGCCUGAUACUUUAGUCAACCUAUUCACGUCAUUUCCACAAAUUUUUGUUUCUCAUUUCAGUUCUAUAUUCCCCCCGUCUUAUAAACAUUUGGCAGUCAUAAAUGGACAUAAAAUCCUUGUGAUUCUACCGAAAAUAAGUUAAAAUCUUUUCUGUCUUUACCAUGUGCCUCAAAAUGGUUAGUGCCUUGUUUGUUACCGUGUGGAUAUUGUUGCUAUCUACAUUAAUGUUUAUUCAUUAAAAUAUAUACGGCAUUCAGUGUAAUAUAGAAUAUAUAUCCAGUAUACCAUGUAUCAUCAACUUACCUUAUAUAUUAAUCUAAUAUCUGUAACACGCAAAUUACUGUAUGUUUACGCGCAUAAACUGGAUUGACACUAUAAGGUAUAAAAAGGGUAAUUCAGUGUGCUUGAAGGUAAAGAUAAAUUCUGGAGUGUUCUGUUGAAUGUCUGGAACGAAAGCGAGGUAAAUUUGUAUAAGGAUUGUGUGGUUAGGUGAUAUAAAUGCACAUAUAUAUAUGUGUGAAUAAUCGACAAUUAUUACCGUGUGACUGCAAGUAUAGUUUUGUUGGAGUUAAUGACAAUGCUGAGCGCUUGAUUCAACUACGUGCUGCAAUGGACUUGUUUAUAUUCAGCACAUUCUUUCCUCACAUAUCCACAUGAAUACUUCGGAGAACCGAACACUGAAGCAAAAUCUAUUUGCUGUUUACUAUUACUAAUUUUUAAUCUUUAUAAAUAUUUUGCUAUUUAUUACUUACUGAUUAUUCAAAAUAUUCUAGUUGAAAAUAUGCAGUAGACAGUAAGUAAUAAACAGCAAAAUAUUUCAAAUUUACUGUUUAACGUAUAAAUUAUUUAGUAUGAUUUAUAUAUUAUUACUGAUUUUAAAACUGUUUUUUCUUUGAUCUGCCAUUUAUAAUAACAUGUAAAUUAUUUCCCAUAAUUUGACAUUUAUGUCUUCCUGACAUUAAAAUAACUUCAUGAAAUUGCCAUUUAUGAUUUACUGACUUCUGAAUUACCUGAUAUGAUUUGAAAUUAAUGACUUACUGACUU